rnacentral:piRNA from 1 species
GGCAAAGCUCUCCACCUCUCCAGC